UAUUGGGCAAUGGGCGAAAGCCUGACCCAGCAACGCCGCGUGAAGGAAGAAGGCCUUCGGUUUGUAAACUUCUUUUAAGAGGGAAGAGCAGAAGACGGUACCUCUUGAAUAAGCCACGGCUAACUACGUGCCAGCAGCCGCGGUAAUACGUAGGUGGCAAGCGUUGUCCGGAUUUACUGGGUGUAAAGGGCGUGCAGCCGGGCUGACAAGUCAGAUGUGAAAUCCCGCGGCUUAACCGCGGAACUGCAUUUGAAACUGUUGGUCUUGAGUAUCGGAGAGGCAGGCGGAAUUCCUAGUGUAGCGGUGAUAUGCGUAGAUAUUAGGAGGAACACCAGUGGCGAAGGCGGCCUGCUGGACGACAACUGACGGUGAGGCGCGAAGGCGUGGGGAGCAAACAGG
rnacentral:rRNA from 1 species